AGAGGGUGCGAGCGUUAAUCGGAAUUACUGGGCGUAAAGGGCGCGUAGGCGGUUAUUUAAGUUGGCUGUGAAAGACCCGGGCUUAACCUGGGACGGCCAGUCAAAACUGGAUAACUAGAGUGCAGUAGAGGAAAGCGGAAUUUCCGGUGUAGCGGUGAAAUGCGUAGAUAUCGGAAGGAACACCCGUGGCGAAGGCGGCUUUCUGGGCUGCUACUGACGCUGAGGCGCGAAAGCGUGGGGAGCAAACAGGAUUAGAUACCCUGGGUAGUCCACGCUGUAAACGAUGAGUACUAGCUGACGGGAGCCCAAUGAGCUUUCGGUGGCGUAGCAAACGCGCUAAGUACUCCGCCUGGGGGAGUACGACCGCAAGGUUA
rnacentral:rRNA from 1 species